CCUACGGGAGGCAGCAGUGGGGAAUAUUGGGCAAUGGAGGCAACUCUGACCCAGCAACGCCGCGUGAAGGAAGAAGGCCUUAGGGUUGUAAACUUAUGUUGUAAAGGAAGAAAAGAAUGACGGUACUUUACAAGAAAGCCCCGGCUAACUAUGUGCCAGCAGCCGCGGUAAGACAUGGGGGGCAAGCAUGGUUCGGAAUUACUGGGAGUAAAGGGAGCGUAGGCGGGCGAUUAAGUUAAGAGGGGAAGCCUUGGGCUCAAACCAAAAAAAGCUCUAAAUACUGGUUUUCUAGAGUGUAGGAGAGGUAAGUGGAAUUCCUAGUGUAGCGGUAGAAUGCGUAGAGAUUAGGAGGAACAUCAGAGGCGAAGGCGACUUACUGGACUAUAACUGACGCUGAGGCUCGAAAGCGUGGGGAGCAAACAGGAUUAGAUACCCGGGUAGUC
rnacentral:rRNA from 1 species